GAGCAAAGGCGUCUUAUCAAUGGCGCAAUUUGCAUUGAAGGUUGGCGACAACUAACCAAGCGAUUCUCCGUGCCUUCCAAAUCUCUUAAUUUUGAGUUUGGCCUCGAACAAGUCGCUACAUU